AUAACUAUACUUCACAGGAUCAUUUCUGUAGUCAGUCUUCAUUUACUUUCUUUGCAAAUCGAAAGUAUUAGCACCCACGAUGAGGAGGUAUAUCGUUUUUUUUCUGACAGCGCGAGGUUUAUGAACUUUAUUUCUAAUUUUGUCUUGUGGCAUUUUCAUUAGAAAUGAUCCUACGACAAAAGGAGGUUCGACUAUUGAUGCGGU